rnacentral:rRNA from 1 species
UUUACAAGAUCGUUACGUUGUGGAUAACUGUGGUAAUUCUAGAGCUAAUACAUGCACCGAAACUCUGACCGUAAGGCAAGAGUGCUUUUAUUAGACUAAAACCAAUCGAGCUUCGGCUCGUGAAACUGGUGACUCUGGAUAACUUUGCUGAUCGCACAGCCUUGCGCUGGCGACGUGUCUUUUAAAUGUCUGACCUAUCAGCUUGCGAUGGUAGUCGAUAUGACUCCCAUGGCUGUAACGGGUAACGGGGAAUCAGGGUUUGAUUCCGGAGAGGAAGCCUGAGAAACGGCUACCACAUCCAAGGAAGGCAGCAGGCGCGCAAAUUACCCACUCACGGCACGUGGAGGUAGUGACGAAAAAUAACAAUGCAAGCCUUUUUUGAGGCCUUGCAAUUGGAAUGAGUACAUUUUAAAUCCUUUAACGAGGAUCAAUUGGAGGGCAAGGUCUGGUGCCAGCAGCCGCGGUAAUUCCAGCUCCAAUAGCGUAUACUAAAGUUGAUGAAUUUAAAUAGCUCGUAGUUGGAUCUCAGGUUUGACACUGCGGUCUGCCGAACGGUAGUUACUGCAGUCGUCAGCCUAAUCGCUGAUUGUGCCCUAGUGCACUUAGUUGUGUGCUAGGGGAUGUCGGCACAUUUACUUUGAAAAAAUUAGAGUGCUUAAAGCAAGCUAAUCGCUUGGAUACUGUUGCAUGGAAUAAUGGAAUAGGACCGCGGUUCUAUUUUGUUGGUUUUCGGAAUCGAGGUAACGAUUAAGAGGGACAGACGGGGAUAUUCGUAUUCCAUCGUUAGAGGUGAAAUUCUUGGAUCGAUGGAAGACGGACAACGGCGAAAGCAUUUGUCAAGAAUGUAUUCAUUGAUCAAGAACGAAAGUCAGAGGUUCGAAGGCGAUCAGAUACCGCCCUAGUUCUGACCAUAAACGAUGCCAACUAGCGAUCCGUCAUAUUUACUUCGAUGAAUUGACGGGCAGCUUUCGGGAAACCAAAGUUUCCGGGUAAUUGGGGAAGUACGAACGCAAGUUUGGAACUUAAAGGAAUUGACGGAAGGAAACCACCAGGAAUGGGAUCUGCGGCUUAAUUUGACUCAACACGGGAAAACUCACCCGGCCCGGACACCGUAAGGAUUGACAGAUUGAGAGGUCUUUCUU